rnacentral:rRNA from 1 species
AGCAUGUGCGCGAGUCAUUGGGAAUUUAAAUAAACCUAAAGGCGUAAUGAAAGUAAAAGAUUUUCCUCGCGAGAAUCGAGGGAGGAUGGGCGGAUUACACUAGCACGUGGCCGCCUCGCACUCCCGGGGCGUCUCGUUCUCAUCGCGAGAAGAGGCGCACCAAGAGCGUACACGCUGGGACCCGAAAGAUGGUGAACUAUGCCUGGUCAGGACGAAGUCAGGGGAAACCCUGAUGGAGGUCCGUAGCGAUUCUGACGUGCAAAUCGAUCGUCGGAACUGGGUAUAGGGGCGAAAGACUAAUCGAACCAUCUAGUAGCUGGUUCCCUCCGAAGUUUCCCUCAGGAUAGCUGGCGCUCGUAGCGCACGAGUCUCAUCCGGUAAAGCGAAUGAUUAGAGGCAUUGGGGUCGAAACGACCUCAACCUAUUCUCAACUUUAAAUGGGUGAGUCUCCGGCUUGCUCGAACU